rnacentral:rRNA from 1 species
UACAGAGGGGGCAAGCGUUAUUCGGAAUUAUUGGGCGUAAAGGGCGCGUAGGCGGCGAUUCAAGUGGCGGGUGAAAGCCCUCGGCUUAACCGAGGAACUGCCUGUCAGACUGUAAGGCUUGAGACCGGGAGAGGUGAGUGGAAUUCCCAGUGUAGCGGUGAAAUGCGUAGAUAUUGGGAGGAACACCAGUGGCGAAGGCGGCUCACUGGACCGGAACUGACGCUGAGGCGCGAAAGCGUGGGGAGCAAACAGG